rnacentral:tRNA from 1 species
GCCCGUAUAGUUUAAUAAAAAUUCUAGUUUUGUAAAUUAGGGAUGUGCACCUACGGGUA